AUUGAACGCUGGCGGCAGGCCUAACACAUGCAAGUCGAGCGGUAGAGAGAAGCUUGCUUCUCUUGAGAGCGGCGGACGGGUGAGUAAUGCCUAGGAAUCUGCCUGGUAGUGGGGGAUAACGUUCGGAAACGGACGCUAAUACCGCAUACGUCCUACGGGAGAAAGCAGGGGACCUUCGGGCCUUGCGCUAUCAAAUGAGCCUAGGUCGGAUUAGCUAGUUGGUGGGGUAAUGGCUCACCAAGGCGACGAUCCGUAACUGGUCUGAGAGGAUGAUCAGUCACACUGGAACUGAGACACGGUCCAGACUCCUACGGGAGGCAGCAGUGGGGAAUAUUGGACAAUGGGCGAAAGCCUGAUCCAGCCAUGCCGCGUGUGUGAAGAAGGUCUUCGGAUUGUAAAGCACUUUAAGUUGGGAGGAAGGGCAGUAAAUUAAUACUUUGCUGUUUUGACGUUACCGACAGAAUAAGCACCGGCUAACUCUGUG
rnacentral:rRNA from 1 species